AGAGUUUGAUCCUGGCUCAGAGUGAACGCUGGCGGUAGGCCUAACACAUGCAAGUCGAACGGCAGCACAGGAGAGCUUGCUCUCUGGGUGGCGAGUGGCGGACGGGUGAGGAAUGCAUCGGAAUCUACUCUUUCGUGGGGGAUAACGUAGGGAAACUUACGCUAAUACCGCAUACGACCUACGGGUGAAAGCCGGGGACCUUCGGGCCUGGCGCGAAUGAAUGAGCCGAUGCCCGAUUAGCUAGUUGGCGGGGUAAGAGCCCACCAAGGCGACGAUCGGUAGCUGGUCUGAGAGGAUGAUCAGCCACGCUGGAACUGAGACACGGUCCAGACUCCUACGGGAGGCAGCAGUGGGGAAUAUUGGACAAUGGGCGCAAGCCUGAUCCAGCCAUACCGCGUGGGUGAAGAAGGCCUUCGGGUUGUAAAGCCCUUUUGUUGGGAAAGAAAAGCAGCUGGUUAAUACCCGGUUGUUCUGACGGUACCCAAAGAAUAAGCACCGGCUAACUUCGUGCCAGCAGCCGCGGUAAUACGAAGGGUGCAAGCGUUACUCGGAAUUACUGGGCGUAAAGCGUGCGUAGGUGGUUGUUUAAGUCUGUCGUGAAAGCCCUGGGCUCAACCUGGGAAUUGCGAUGGAAACUGGGCGACUAGAGUGUGGCAGAGGGAUAGUGGAAUUCCUUGGUGUAGCAGUGAAAUGCGUAGAGAUCAGGAGGAACAUCCGUGGCCGAAAGGCAGCUACCUGGGCCAACACUGACACUGAGGCACGAAAGCGUGGGGGAGCAAACAGGAUUAGAUACCCUGGUA
rnacentral:rRNA from 1 species